GCCAGCUGUGUCCCCUCCCAUCUCCUUGUGCCCCCCAGCCUUGUCAAAGUGGUGUGGUGUGAGAAGCUGAAAAGUCCUUGACUUAAAACUAUUUUCCAACAGACUUAAAGGCAGGACAAAAGCAAGAAGUCAGCCAAGGAUUCCAGUUUCCUGAAGAACUCCUGAAUUUUGGAGCUCUAAAGUCCUGUGCCCAGCAUAAGAUGAUGUGCAGGUCCAAGGGUGCCCUGUGGAAACCUGUUUAAGUCACACACAAGGAAUUGCACAGAAUCCAGUAGUUGUCAAACUGAAGUUCUACUUUGUGAAGAAUUAACUUUGCCUCUCAAAACCAGCUGUGGAUCUGCAAAAUUACUUAUGGACUGGGGCAUUCUGAACACAUAUGGAAUUUUUUAACUGGACAUCACUAAUACCACACCAUAAUUGUGCCUAAAAUGGGAGGUACAUUGGUUUUGAUCUGGAACCGUGGCAAUCAUUCUUUCAUUCACCACAUGUAUCCAAGCAGUACCUGUAUCUGACUGCAAACAGAAAUGGAAGCAGUACCAGCAAAUGAAAUACUGUCCUGUGGUGAUUUCAUGUGUUCUCA